rnacentral:rRNA from 1 species
CAUAAUCGUUAGUUCUUUAAUUGGGAGCUUGUAUGAAUGGUUGAAUGAGAAAUAUACUUUUUUAAUAAAAAUAUUGAAUUUUACAUUUUAAUUAAAAGGUUAAAAUGUUUUUAAAAGACGAGAAGACCCUAUAGAGUUUAAUAAUUCAUUUUUAAUAUUUUAAAAAAAUUAUUAGAUAUUUUUAUUUAAUAGAAUUAUUUUGUUGGGGUGAUAGUAAAAUUUAAUUAACUUUUAUUUUUUUUUUACAUUAAUAUAUGAUUAAAUGAUCCAAUAUUAUUGAUUAAAAAAUUAAAUUACCUUAGGGAUAACAGCGUAAUUUUCUUUUUAAGUUCAUAUUAAUAAAAAAUUUUGCGACCUC